UGGGGAAUUUUGGACAAUGGGCGAAAGCCUGAUCCAGCAAUGCCGCGUGUGUGAAGAAGGCCUUCGGGUUGUAAAGCACUUUUGUCCGGAAAGAAAUCCUUGGCUCUAAUACAGUCGGGGGAUGACGGUACCGGAAGAAUAAGCACCGGCUAACUACGUGCCAGCAGCCGCGGUAAUACGUAGGGUGCAAGCGUUAAUCGGAAUUACUGGGCGUAAAGCGUGCGCAGGCGGUUUGCUAAGACCGAUGUGAAAUCCCCGGGCUCAACCUGGGAACUGCAUUGGUGACUGGCAGGCUAGAGUAUGGCAGAGGGGGGUAGAAUUCCACGUGUAGCAGUGAAAUGCGUAGAGAUGUGGAGGGAUACCGAUGGCGAAGGCAGCCCCCUGGGCCAAUACUGACGCUCAUGCACGAAAGCGUGGGGAGCAAACAGGAUUAGAUACCCUGGUAGUCCACGCCCUAAACGAUGUCAACUAGUUGUUGGGGAUUCAUUUCCUUAGUAACGUAGCUAACGCGUGAAGUUGACCGCCUGGGGAGUACGGUCG
rnacentral:rRNA from 1 species